AGAGGGGGCAAGCGUUGCUCGGAAUUACUGGGCGUAAAGGGCGCGUAGGCGGAAUGGCAAGUCGGUCGUGAAAUCCUUCGGCUCAACCGAAGAACGUCGAUCGAAACUGCCGUUCUUGAGGAUUGCAGAGGAGACUGGAAUUCCCGGUGUAGCGGUGAAAUGUGUAGAGAUCGGGAGGAACACCGGUGGCGAAGGCGGGUCUCUGGGCAAUUCCUGACGCUGAGGCGCGAAAGCGUGGGGAGCAAACGGGAUUAGAUACCCCGGUAGUCCACGCUGUAAACGAUGACGACUAGGUGUGGGGGGGUUCAGUCCCUUCCGUGCCGCAGCUAACGCAUUAAGUCGUCCGCCUGGGGAGUACGGCCGCAAGGUUGAA
rnacentral:rRNA from 1 species